UACAGAGGGUGCGAGCGUUAAUCGGAAUUACUGGGCGUAAAGCGCAUGUAGGCGGAUAUCUAAGUCGGGUGUGAAAUCCCUGGGCUCAACCUAGGAAUUGCAUUCGAUACUGGAUGUCUUAGAGUAUGGUAGAGGAAAGUGGAAUUCCCGGUGUAGCGGUGAAAUGCAUAGAUAUCGGGAGGAACACCAGUGGCGAAGGCGGCUUUCUGGACCAAUACUGACGCUGAAGUGCUAAAGCGUGGGGAGCACACAGG
rnacentral:rRNA from 1 species